AGAGUUUGAUCCUGGCUCAGGACGAACGCUGGCGGCGUGCUUAACACAUGCAAGUCGAACGGAAAGGCCCCUUCGGGGGUACUCGAGUGGCGAACGGGUGAGUAACACGUGGGUGAUCUGCCCUGCACUUCGGGAUAAGCCUGGGAAACUGGGUCUAAUACCGGAUAGGACCACGGGAUGCAUGUCCUGUGGUGGAAAGCUUUUGCGGUGUGGGAUGGGCCCGCGGCCUAUCAGCUUGUUGGUGGGGUGACGGCCUACCAAGGCGACGACGGGUAGCCGGCCUGAGAGGGUGUCCGGCCACACUGGGACUGAGAUACGGCCCAGACUCCUACGGGAGGCAGCAGUGGGGAAUAUUGCACAAUGGGCGCAAGCCUGAUGCAGCGACGCCGCGUGGGGGAUGACGGCCUUCGGGUUGUAAACCUCUUUCACCAUCGACGAAGGUCCGGGUUUUCUCGGAUUGACGGUAGGUGGAGAAGAAGCACCGGCCAACUACGUGCCAGCAGCCGCGGUAAUACGUAGGGUGCGAGCGUUGUCCGGAAUUACUGGGCGUAAAGAGCUCGUAGGUGGUUUGUCGCGUUGUUCGUGAAAUCUCACGGCUUAACUGUGAGCGUGCGGGCGAUACGGGCAGACUGGAGUACUGCAGGGGAGACUGGAAUUCCUGGUGUAGCGGUGGAAUGCGCAGAUAUCAGGAGGAACACCGGUGGCGAAGGCGGGUCUCUGGGCAGUAACUGACGCUGAGGAGCGAAAGCGUGGGGAGCGAACAGGAUUAGAUACCCUGGUAGUCCACGCCGUAAACGGUGGGUACUAGGUGUGGGUUUCCUUCCUUGGGAUCCGUGCCGUAGCUAACGCAUUAAGUACCCCGCCUGGGGAGUACGGCCGCAAGGCUAAAACUCAAAGGAAUUGACGGGGGCCCGCACAAGCGGCGGAGCAUGUGGAUUAAUUCGAUGCAACGCGAAGAACCUUACCUGGGUUUGACAUGCACAGGACGCCGGCAGAGAUGUCGGUUCCCUUGUGGCCUGUGUGCA
rnacentral:rRNA from 1 species